rnacentral:rRNA from 1 species
UACGAAGGGGGCUAGCGUUGUUCGGAUUUACUGGGCGUAAAGCGCACGUAGGCGGAUCGUUAAGUCGGGGGUGAAAUCCUGGAGCUCAACUCCAGAACUGCCUUUGAUACUGAGGAUCUUGAGUUCGGGAGAGGUGAGUGGAACUGCGAGUGUAGAGGUGAAAUUCGUAGAUAUUCGCAAGAACACCAGUGGCGAAGGCGGCUCACUGGCCCGGUACUGACGCUGAGGUGCGAAAGCGUGGGGAGCAAACAGG